ACGGCUUGGCUGAGUUGUUAAGUCAAUGAAUUGCUAAUCCUAUGGAUUUA
rnacentral:tRNA from 1 species